rnacentral:rRNA from 2 species
CAUGCAAGUCGAGCGAACUGAUUAGAAGCUUGCUUCUAUGACGUUAGCGGCGGACGGGUGAGUAACACGUGGGCAACCUGCCUGUAAGACUGGGAUAACUUCGGGAAACCGAAGCUAAUACCGGAUAGGAUCUUCUCCUUCAUGGGAGAUGAUUGAAAGAUGGUUUCGGCUAUCACUUACAGAUGGGCCCGCGGUGCAUUAGCUAGUUGGUGAGGUAACGGCUCACCAAGGCAACGAUGCAUAGCCGACCUGAGAGGGUGAUCGGCCACACUGGGACUGAGACACGGCCCAGACUCCUACGGGAGGCAGCAGUAGGGAAUCUUCCGCAAUGGACGAAAGUCUGACGGAGCAACGCCGCGUGAGUGAUGAAGGCUUUCGGGUCGUAAAACUCUGUUGUUAGGGAAGAACAAGUACGAGAGUAACUGCUCGUACCUUGACGGUACCUAACCAGAAAGCCACGGCUAACUACGUGCCAGCAGCCGCGGUAAUACGUAGGUGGCAAGCGUUAUCCGGAAUUAUUGGGCGUAAAGCGCGCGCAGGCGGUUUCUUAAGUCUGAUGUGAAAGCCCACGGCUCAACCGUGGAGGGUCAUUGGAAACUGGGGAACUUGAGUGCAGAAGAGAAAAGCGGAAUUCCACGUGUAGCGGUGAAAUGCGUAGAGAUGUGGAGGAACACCAGUGGCGAAGGCGGCUUUUUGGUCUGUAACUGACGCUG